UGCCAGCCGCCGCGGUAAUACGAAGGGACCUAGCGUAGUUCGGAAUUACUGGGCGUAAAGCGCCUGUAGGCUGCUUACUGAAGUCUGUUGUUAAAAUUUAAGGCUUAACCUUAGGAAAGCAAUGGAAACUGAUAGGCUAGAGUAUGGGAAGGGUAAAGGGAAUUUCUAGUGGAGUGGUGAAAUGCGUAGAUAUUAGAAGGAACACCGGAGGCGAAGGCGCUUUACUGGAACAUUACUGACACUCAGAGGCGAAAGCUAGGGGAGCGAAAGGGAUUAGAUA
rnacentral:rRNA from 1 species